UACGAAGGGGGCUAGCGUUGCUCGGAAUCACUGGGCGUAAAGGGUGCGUAGGCGGGUCUUUAAGUCAGGGGUGAAAUCCCACGGCCCAACCGUGGAAGUGCCUCUGAUACUGCGGGCCUGGAGGGGGAUAGGGGCGUGCGGAACUUCCGGUGGAGCGGUGAAAUGCGUAGAUAUCGGAAGGAACACCGGUGGCGAAAGCGGCGCGCUGGAUCCCUACUGACGCUGAGGCACGAAAGCCAGGGGAGCAAACGGG
rnacentral:rRNA from 1 species